AGAGUUUGAUCCUGGCUCAGAUUGAACGCUGGCGGCAUGCCUUACACAUGCAAGUCGAACGGCAGCACGGAGCUUGCUCUGGUGGCGAGUGGCGAACGGGUGAGUAAUAUAUCGGAACGUACCCUAGAGUGGGGGAUAACGUAGCGAAAGUUACGCUUAUACCGCAUACGAUCUAAGGAUGAAAGUGGGGGAUCGCAAGACCUCAUGCUCGUGGAGCGGCCGAUAUCUGAUUAGCUAGUUGGUAGGGUAAAAGCCUACCAAGGCAUCGAUCAGUAGCUGGUCUGAGAGGACGACCAGCCACACUGGAACUGAGACACGGUCCAGACUCCUACGGGAGGCAGCAGUGGGGAAUUUUGGACAAUGGGCGAAAGCCUGAUCCAGCAAUGCCGCGUGAGUGAAGAAGGCCUUCGGGUUGUAAAGCUCUUUUGUCAGGGAAGAAACGGUGAAAGCUAAUAUCUUUUGCUAAUGACGGUACCUGAAGAAUAAGCACCGGCUAACUACGUGCCAGCAGCCGCGGUAAUACGUAGGGUGCAAGCGUUAAUCGGAAUUACUGGGCGUAAAGCGUGCGCAGGCGGUUUUGUAAGUCUGAUGUGAAAUCCCCGGGCUCAACCUGGGAAUUGCAUUGGAGACUGCAAGGCUAGAAUCUGGCAGAGGGGGGUAGAAUUCCACGUGUAGCAGUGAAAUGCGUAGAUAUGUGGAGGAACACCGAUGGCGAAGGCAGCCCCCUGGGUCAAGAUUGACGCUCAUGCACGAAAGCGUGGGGAGCAAACAGGAUUAGAUACCCUGGUAGUCCACGCCCUAAACGAUGUCUACUAGUUGUCGGGUCUUAAUUGACUUGGUAACGCAGCUAACGCGUGAAGUAGACCGCCUGGGGAGUACGGUCGCAAGAUUAAAACUCAAAGGAAUUGACGGGGACCCGCACAAGCGGUGGAUGAUGUGGAUUAAUUCGAUGCAACGCGAAAAACCUUACCUACCCUUGACAUGGCUGGAAUCCUUGAGAGAUCAGGGAGUGCUCGAAAGAGAGCCAGUACACAGGUGCUGCAUGGCUGUCGUCAGCUCGUGUCGUGAGAUGUUGGGUUAAGUCCUGCAACGAGCGCAACCCUUGUCAUUAGUUGCUACGAAAGGGCACUCUAAUGAGACUGCCGGUGACAAACCGGAGGAAGGUGGGGAUGACGUCAAGUCCUCAUGGCCCUUAUGGGUAGGGCUUCACACGUCAUACAAUGGUACAUACAGAGCGCCGCCAACCCGCGAGGGGGAGCUAAUCGCAGAAAGUGUAUCGUAGUCCGGAUUGUAGUCUGCAACUCGACUGCAUGAAGUUGGAAUCGCUAGUAAUCGCGGAUCAGCAUGUCGCGGUGAAUACGUUCCCGGGUCUUGCACUCACCGCCCGUC
rnacentral:rRNA from 1 species